rnacentral:snRNA from 1 species
GUGCUCACUUUGGUAGCAUAUAUACCAAAAUUAGAAUGAUACAGAGAAGAUUAGCAUGGCCCUGGUUCAAGGAUGACAUGCAAAUUCACGAAGGGCUCUAUAUUAAA